rnacentral:lncRNA from 1 species
AUGAUCAAAACAACUAUGCAUGUAGAAGUUAUAGGAUCUAGGGAGAACCUAUUGAUGUUACUUUUCUAAGUGGUUAUGUUGGCAAACUGCCAUCUCCAUGGUGAUUUUUAUGUCUAUAGAUUUGUAUUCCCCCUCCCACUUUUGGUCAGAGCUACAUCCUAUUACAGUGGUUAGUGGUUAAUGCAGAGGCUCAUUACUGUUCACAGAAUCACUGCUCACAGAAUAAAGCAAUGGUAAAUGAUCAGCUGUAUGUGAGUCAUCUAUAUCAACUUUCUUUCCCCAGGGCUCAGAGAUCAAAAAUAUCGAAAUUUGGACUCAAACAAUGUAGAAGCUGGAGAAUGUGGAGAAGUAUUGUGUAAUACUGUCAUCUGGACAGGGCUUGGACAUUAGAAAAUGGCUUCAGAGUAGCUGUGGCUAUCCACACAAGACCUGCAGAAGCUGAGCUGGUUAAAAGUCCAACAUGAAGGGGCAAGUGAAAUCAUUAGCAGUUGACUGCUACUGAGUUCAGAAGAGUUACUUUGUUUUUUGUUUGUUUGUUUGUUUGAGAGUGUCAUAGCCAGUAGGUUCACCAUAGUCCCACAGAUGACCCGAUAUGACGGGCAUAUGAGCAGCACUCACUGGAUACAGUGGGUUAAGUUUGUUGAAGCCAUAUCCAUGAUUACAAAAGGAGAACAUGACCUUGGGAGGAAGAUGAGAUGUUUUCUGGGUAAGUUAAAGUUGAGGAGUGAGGGGUAAAUAUGACCAAAAUACAUCGCCCAAAUGUAAACAAUUAUGGAAGAAUAAAUAAAAUAUUAAAAUGAAUAAGAAAUCCAGACUAAAUAAAACUGGACAUUCUGGGAAUCAAUAUAAUUGAAAGGAACAUCAAUGAAGCUAUGUCAUAAGAUGGGGAAUAGAUUGCAUCUGUGCUCAAGGCUUUCUUUGUACCAUCAAGUUUCAGAUACUCUCCGCUGAGAGUUCAGGAGGACAACACACAUUUCUAAUAGUAGCGUAAAAAUAGAUUUGAAAACUAUGUGGAAACCAAAAAUAUAUAGUAUAUAUGUUAAGCUGAAGAUGGAUCUGUCAAAAUGUAAUUUCCUGUCAAAAUGUAAUUGGUGACUCAAAACACUACUUAAAGCUGAUAAGUCAGGUAUCUAAAUAUUAUUUGAUGGCUGAACAUAUAUUUAAUCCUAAUUGAAUUAAUUAAACUAAUUGUAAG